UCCGUACAGCCACGCUGCAGACUGGUGGUCUCUUGGCGUUCUUCUCUACGCUUUAACCACUGGAGGGAAGCAGAUCACUGUGAUAUGCUGACCAGUGUCAGUGAGUGUCCAUAUGACAUGCAUGCAAGCCUCAGUCCAACUCUGACCUUCCUGCUCUUAGAGCUUCUGUGCAAGAUCCCCACACGUCGCUUACAGCACCUGGAGCGAUUCCAAAGCCAGACGUUUUUCCACGGCAUGCCCUUUGAUUCCCAGCUGCUGCAGCAAAGUCCCAUUCAGCCAAUCCUCGAGCUGAAGAAUCGUCCUGACCGACCGGAAAGGUCGAUGCGAGGCUUAUCAUUAGACCUGCUUCAGAAUUUUUAGUGUGACCUACUGAACUCUCCAUCCACCCCUGCAGAUUUGUCUCCUACCUUGAUGAAGAUUAAGGUAAACA